rnacentral:rRNA from 1 species
ACGGAAGGCAGCAGUGGGGAAUAUUGCACAAUGGGCGCAAGCCUGAUGCAGCGAUGCCGCGUGAGGGAGGAAGGUUUUCGGAUUGUAAACCUCUGUCAACAGGGACGAAAAUGACGGUACCUGUGAAGGAAGCUCCGGCUAACUACGUGCCAGCAGCCGCGGUAAUACGUAGGGAGCAAGCGUUAUCCGGAUUUACUGGGUGUAAAGGGCGUGUAGGCGGGACAUCAAGUCAGAUGUGAAAGCACGAGGCUCAACUUCGUGUCUGCAUUUGAAACUGUAGUUCUUGAGUGCUGGAGAGGCUAGCGGAAUUCCUAGUGUAGCGGUGAAAUGCGUAGAUAUUAGGAGGAACACCAGUGGCGAAGGCGGUUAGCUGGACAGUAACUGACGCUGAGGCGCGAAAGCGUGGGUAGCAAACAGGAUUAGAUACCCUGGUA